rnacentral:rRNA from 1 species
GAUGAGCGCUGGCGGCGUGCCUAAUACAUGCAAGUCGAGCGAACAGAUGAGGAGCUUGCUCCUCUGACGUUAGCGGCGGACGGGUGAGUAACACGUGGAUAACCUACCUAUAAGACUGGGAUAACUUCGGGAAACCGGAGCUAAUACCGGAUAAUAUAUUGAACCGCAUGGUUCAAUAGUGAAAGACGGUUUUGCUGUCACUUAUAGAUGGAUCCGCGCCGCAUUAGCUAGUUGGUAAGGUAACGGCUUACCAAGGCAACGAUGCGUAGCCGACCUGAGAGGGUGAUCGGCCACACUGGAACUGAGACACGGUCCAGACUCCUACGGGAGGCAGCAGUAGGGAAUCUUCCGCAAUGGGCGAAAGCCUGACGGAGCAACGCCGCGUGAGUGAUGAAGGUCUUCGGAUCGUAAAACUCUGUUAUUAGGGAAGAACAAAUGUGUAAGUAACUAUGCACGUCUUGACGGUACCUAAUCAGAAAGCCACGGCUAACUACGU